rnacentral:lncRNA from 1 species
CUCCGUUCCCAAUGCAUAGGAUCAUUUCACCAUCCCUCAGCCUCCUGCUAGCCUCAAGACCCUACAAAAAAGUACAUAAGUGAGUAUUAGAUCCAGAGUCAAGCAUCCAACUGGAUGCAGAAGAAAUCAUUAGGUUUAUUUUUAUGAUGAGCAUAUCUUCAGAAGGUCCACCUUUCCUCUUGUUCUUCAGGGUCUCCAGAUAAGCCAGACAAUUCUGCUUCCAGUGGCCGUCAGUGUUAUAGUGGAAACAUUUUCCUUUCUCGAUGGCUUUCUUUUCUGGAACUACCUUCUUCUCCUUC